rnacentral:rRNA from 1 species
GUAGGUGGCAAGCGUUGUCCGGAAUUAUUGGGCGUAAAGCGCGCGCAGGCGGCUCUUUAAGUCUGAUGUGAAAGCCCACGGCUCAACCGUGGAGGGUCAUUGGAAACUGGAGAACUUGAGUACAGAAGAGGAAAGCGGAAUUCCACGUGUAGCGGUGAAAUGCGUAGAGAUGUGGAGGAACACCAGUGGCGAAGGCGGCUUUCUGGUCUGUAACUGACGCUGAGGCGCGAAAGCGUGGGGAGCAAACAGGAUUAGAUACCCUGGUAGUCCACGCCGUAAACGAUGAGUGCUAAGUGUUAGGGGGGUUUUCCGCCCCCCUUAGUGCUGCAGCUAACGCAUUAAGCACUCCGCCUGGGAGUACGGCCGCAAGGCUG